rnacentral:rRNA from 1 species
AGUUUGAUCAUGGCUCAGGAUGAACGCUGGCGGCGUGCCUUAAGCAUGCAAGUCGAACGGAGAUUGUGCUUAGCACUAAGAUAAUUAGUGUAAAGUUGCUUCUUCUUCCCUUGUUAUGCCAAAGCACUUUAUAAAGUCAGUUAUUUACUAUGAAUCUUUUGGCGUAACGAGUGGUAAGUUGAGCAACGAUUAAUUAUUUUUGUGCUAAGCACGAAAUCAGUGGCGGACGGGUGAGUAUAAGCAAGGAACGUACCCUUUACUGUGGCAUAGCUCGUCGAAAGACGGGGUAAUACCGCAUAAUCCCUUACGGGUAAAGCGCUUAACCGCGCGGUAUUGGAGCGGCCUUGUGUCUAUCAGCUAGUUGGUGGGGUAAAGGCCUACCAAGGCGACGACGGAUAGGGGGCGUGAGAGCGCGACCCCCCACAAUGGCACUGAGAUACGGGCCAUACAUCUACGGAUGGCAGCAACUGGGAAUCGUUGGCAAUGGACGAAAGUCUGACCACGCGACGCCGCGUGAGGGAUGAAGGCCUUCGGGUCGUAAACCUCUUUUGCCUCGGCAUGAAGCUGAGGAGAAUAAGCAUCUACAAACUACGUGCCAGCAGUCGCGGUAAUACGUAGGAUGCAAGCGUUAUCCGGAUUCACUGGGCGUAAAGAGUCGUGUAGGUGGUUUAUCGCAUCGUACUUGAAAGCCCGAGGCUUAACCUGGGCGUUGGGUACGAGAUGGAUAGACUUGAGGGUGGCAGAGGAAAGGGGAACUCAUGGUGAAGCAGUGAAAUGCGUUGAUAUCAUGAGGAACACCAAAGGCGAAGGCACCUUUCUGGGCCUCUCCUGACACUGAGACACGAAAGCUAGGGGAGCGAAGCAGAUUAGAGACCUGCGUAGUCCUAGCCCUAAACGCAUGUCUGCUAGAUGGUUUUCGCAAGAGAACUGUCGUAAGCUAACGCGUUAAGCAGACCGCCUGGGGAGUACGAUCGCAAGAUUAAAACUCAAAGGAAUUGACGGGGACCCGCACAACCGGUGGAGCGUGUGGUUCAAUUCGAUACAAAGCGAAAUACCUCACCAAGUUUUGACAUGCUACCGUUUUAACCACCUGGAAACAGGAGGCUAUCCGCAAGGAUGGUAGCACAGCAGCUGCAUGGCUGUCGUCAGCUCGUGCCGUGGGGUGUUCCCUUAAGUGGGAGAACGAGCGCAACCCGUGUCCAAUGUUAUAUGUUUCAUUGGAGACCGCCCACUCUCUGAGUACCCGAAUUAUCGGGUAUUGAGAGAGUGGGAGGAAGGAACGGACGACGUCAAGUCAGCACGGCGCUUAUAACUUGGGUAACACACACCCUACAAUGGCGAAUAACAAUGGGAUGCAAGGCGGUAACGUCAAGCAAAUCCCCACUAAAUUUCGCCUCAGUUCAGAUUGAGGGCUGCAACCCGCCCUCAUGAAGUCGGAAUCGGUAGUAAUCGCAGAUCAGCAGGCUGCGGUGAAUACGUUCUCGGGUCUUGUACACACCGCCCGUCAAGCCAACAAAGUUGGAGGCGGCCGAAGAUCCACAUUUGUGGAGCUAAGCCGAAUUCAGCGAUGGGGACUAAGUCGUAACAAGGUAACCGU